AGUGAACGCUGGCGGUAGGCCUAACACAUGCAAGUCGAACGGCAGCACAGAGGAGCUUGCUCCUUGGGUGGCGAGUGGCGGACGGGUGAGGAAUACAUCGGAAUCUACUCUGUCGUGGGGGAUAACGUAGGGAAACUUACGCUAAUACCGCAUACGACCUACGGGUGAAAGCAGGGGAUCUUCGGACCUUGCGCGAUUGAAUGAGCCGAUGUCGGAUUAGCUAGUUGGCGGGGUAAAGGCCCACCAAGGCGACGAUCCGUAGCUGGUCUGAGAGGAUGAUCAGCCAAACUGGAACUGAGACACGGUCCAGACUCCUACGGGAGGCAGCAGUGGGGAAUAUUGGACAAUGGGCGCAAGCCUGAUCCAGCCAUACCGCGUGGGUGAAGAAGGCCUUCGGGUUGUAAAGCCCUUUUGUUGGGAAAGAAAUCCAGCUGGUUAAUACCCGGUUGGGAUGACGGUACCCAAAGAAUAAGCACCGGCUGACUUCGUGCCAGCCGCCGCCGUAA
rnacentral:rRNA from 1 species